GAGUUUGAACCUGGCUCAGGACGAACGCUGGCGGCGUGCCUAAUACAUGCAAGUAGAACGCUGAAGAGAGGAGCUUGCUCUUCUUGGAUGAGUUGCGAACGGGUGAGUAACGCGUAGGUAACCUGCCUUGUAGCGGGGGAUAACUAUUGGAAACGAUAGCUAAUACCGCAUAACAAUGGAUGACACAUGUCAUUUAUUUGAAAGGGGCAAUUGCUCCACUACAAGAUGGACCUGCGUUGUAUUAGCUAGUAGGUGAGGUAAUGGCUCACCUAGGCGACGAUACAUAGCCGACCUGAGAGGGUGAUCGGCCACACUGGGACUGAGACACGGCCCAGACUCCUACGGGAGGCAGCAGUAGGGAAUCUUCGGCAAUGGGGGCAACCCUGACCGAGCAACGCCGCGUGAGUGAAGAAGGUUUUCGGAUCGUAAAGCUCUGUUGUAAGUCAAGAACGGGUGUGAGAGUGGAAAGUUCACACUGUGACGGUAGCUUACCAGAAAGGGACGGCUAACUACGUGCCAGCAGCCGCGGUAAUACGUAGGUCCCGAGCGUUGUCCGGAUUUAUUGGGCGUAAAGCGAGCGCAGGCGGUUUGAUAAGUCUGAAGUUAAAGGCUGUGGCUCAACCAUAGUUCGCUUUG
rnacentral:rRNA from 1 species